rnacentral:rRNA from 1 species
UGGGGAAUAUUGGACAAUGGGGGAAACCCUGAUCCAGCAAUGCCGCGUGUGUGAAGAAGGCCUUCGGGUUGUAAAGCACUUUCAGUAGAGAAGAAAGGCUCAAGGCUAAUAUCCUUGAGAGUUGACAUUAUCUACAGAAGAAGCACUGGCUAACUCUGUGCCAGCAGCCGCGGUAAUACAGAGAGUGCAAGCGUUAAUCGGAAUCACUGGGCGUAAAGCGCACGUAGGUUGAUGCUAUAGUCGGAUGUGAAAGCCCUGGGCUUAACCUAGGAAUUGCACCCGAUACUGGGCAUCUAGAGUAUAGUAGAGGGAAGUGGAAUUUCCGGUGUAGCGGUGAAAUGCGUAGAUAUCGGAAAGAACACCAGUGGCGAAGGCGACUUCCUGGACUAAUACUGACACUGAGGUGCGAAAGCGUGGGGAGCAAACAGGAUUAGAUACCCCCGUAGUCC